rnacentral:rRNA from 1 species
UACGUAGGAGGCAAGCGUUGUCCGGAUUUAUUGGGCGUAAAGCGCUCGCAGGUUGUUCGUCUCGUCGUGCGUGAAAGACCCCGGCUCAACUGGGGGAGGUCGUGCGAUACGGGCGGACUGGAGGCCAGUAGGGGGAUGCGGAAUUCCGGGUGUAGUGGUGGAAUGCGUAGAGAUCCGGAGGAACACCAGCGGCGAAGGCGGCAUCCUGGACUGGUCCUGACACUCAUGAGCGAAAGCGUGGGGAGCGAGCCGG